AGCUCCAAUAGCGUAUAUUAAAGUUGCUGCAGUUAAAAAGCUCGUAGUUGGAUCUCGGGUGCAGGCUUGCGGUCCGCCUCGCGGCGGUCACUGCUCGUCCUGACCUCCACGCCGGUUGUCCGCGCCCUGGUGCUCUUGAUUGAGUGUCUCGGCCGGCCGGAACGUUUACUUUGAAGAAAUUAGAGUGCUCAAAGCAGGCCUUAGCCGCCUGAAUAAUGGUGCAUGGAAUAAUGGAAUAGGACCUCGGUUCUAUUUUGCUGGUUUUCGGAGCUCGAGGUAAUGAUUAAUAGGGACAGACGGGGGCAUUCGUAUUGCGGCGCUAGAGGUGAAAUUCUUGGACCGUCGCAAGACGAACUACAGCGAUAGCAUUUGCCAAGCAUGCUUUCAUUA
rnacentral:rRNA from 1 species